UACGUAUGGUGCAAGCGUUAUCCGGAUUUACUGGGUGUAAAGGGAGCGUAGACGGCUGUGUAAGUCUGAAGUGAAAGCCCGGGGCUCAACCCCGGGACUGCUUUGGAAACUAUGCAGCUAGAGUGUCGGAGAGGUAAGUGGAAUUCCCGGUGUAGCGGUGAAAUGCGUAGAUAUUGGGAGGAACACCAGUGGCGAAGGCGGCUUACUGGACGAUGACUGACGUUGAGGCUCGAAAGCGUGGGGAGCAAACAGG
rnacentral:rRNA from 1 species